UACGUAGGGUGCGAGCGUUGUCCGGAAUUAUUGGGCGUAAAGGGCUCGUAGGCGGUCUGUCGCGUCGGGAGUGAAAACUCGGGGCUUAACCCCGGGCCUGCAGUGGGUACGGGCAGACUAGAGUGCGGUAGGGGAGACUGGAAUUCCUGGUGUAGCGGUGAAAUGCGCAGAUAUCAGGAGGAACACCGGUGGCGAAGGCGGGUCUCUGGGCCGUAACUGACGCUGAGGAGCGAAAGCGUGGGGAGCGAACAGG
rnacentral:rRNA from 1 species